UACGUAGGGUGCAAGCGUUGUCCGGAAUUGUUGGGCGUAAAGAGCUCGUAGGCGGCUUGUCGCGUCGAAUGUGAAAUCUCAGGGCUCAACUCUGACAUUGCAUUCGAUACGGGCAGGCUAGAGUUCGGUAGGGGAGACUGGAAUUCCUGGUGUAGCGGUGAAAUGCGCAGAUAUCAGGAGGAACACCGAUGGCGAAGGCAGGUCUCUGGGCCGAUACUGACGUGAGGAGCGAAAGCGUGGGGAGCGAACAGG
rnacentral:rRNA from 1 species